GUCCCUGUAGCUCAAUUGGAUUAGAGCAAAAGGUUUCUACCCUUUAGGUUGCACGUUCGAAUCGUGUCAGGGACU
rnacentral:tRNA from 1 species